CAACUCCGCGCAUUAUCUAUCCCCGAUUAAACAGAAAAGCCUCUGUAAACAGGAUUUCUACAAACAUGUCUAAAGCCCAACAGCUGAGGGACAGGCUGAAACAACUGCUGCUGAUGAAGAAAUAUUUGAGUUGUUAGAAGGAUUGAUCGCAAACUAUGAAGAAGAAAUUCAUCAUUUAAAA